rnacentral:misc_RNA from 1 species
GAUGCAGAACGUAGCGAAAUGCGAUAAGUAAUGUGAAUUGCAGAAUUCAGUGAAUCAUCGAAUCUUUGAACGCACAUUGCGCCCCUUGGUAUUCCGAGGGGCAUGCCUGUUCGAGCGUCAUUAUAACCCCUCAAGCUCAGCUUGGUGUUGGGGCCUGCUGCACUGGCAGCCCUUAAAAUCAGUGGCGGCGCCAUCUGGCUCUAAGCGUAGUAAUUCUUCUCGCUAUGGAGUCCUGGUGGAUGCUUGCCAUCAACCCCCAAUUUUUCUAUGGUUGACCUCGGAUCAGGUAGGGAUACCCGCUGAACUUAAGCAUAUCAAUAAGCGGAGGA